GACGAACGCUGGCGGCGUGCUUAACACAUGCAAGUCGAACGAUGAAGCCUAGCUUGCUAGGUGGAUUAGUGGCGAACGGGUGAGUAAUACGUGAGUAACCUACCUUUAACUCUGGGAUAAGCCUGGGAAACUGGGUCUAAUACCGGAUACGACCAAUCUCCGCAUGGGGUGUUGGUGGAAAGCGUUAUGUAGUGGUUAUAGAUGGGCUCACGGCCUAUCAGCUUGUUGGUGAGGUAACGGCUCACCAAGGCGACGACGGGUAGCCGGCCUGAGAGGGUGACCGGCCACACUGGGACUGAGACACGGCCCAGACUCCUACGGGAGGCAGCAGUGGGGAAUAUUGCACAAUGGGCGCAAGCCUGAUGCAGCGACGCCGCGUGAGGGAUGACGGCCUUCGGGUUGUAAACCUCUGUUAGCAGGGAAGAAGAAAGACUGACCGUACCUGCAGAGGAAGCGCCCGCUAACUACGUGCCAGCAACCGCGGUAAUUACGUAGGGCGCGAGCGUUGUCCGGAAUUAUUGGGCGUAAAGAGCUUGUAGGCGGUUUGUCGCGUCUGCUGUGAAAGGCCGGGGCUUAACUCCGUGUAUUGCAGUGGGUACGGGCAGACUAGAGUGCAGUAGGGGAGACUGGAAUUCCUGGUGUAGCGGUGGAAUGCGCAGAUAUCAGGAGGAACACCGAUGGCGAAGGCAGGUCUCUGGGCUGUAACUGACGCUGAGAAGCGAAAGCAUGGGGAGCGAACAGGAUUAGAUACCCUGGUAGUCCAUGCCGUAAACGUUGGGCACUAGGUGUGGGGAACAUUCCACGUUUUCCGCGCCGUAGCUAACGCAUUAAGUGCCCCGCCUGGGGAGUACGGCCGCAGGGCUAAAACUCAAAGAAAUUGACGGGGGCCCGCACAAGCGGCGGAGCAUGCGGAUUAAUUCGAUGCAACGCGAAGAACCUUACCAAGGCUUGACAUAUACUGGACCGCAUCAGAGAUGGUGUUUCCCUUCGGGGCUGGUAUACAGGUGGUGCAUGGUUGUCGUCAGCUCGUGUCGUGAGAUGUUGGGUUAAGUCCCGCAACGAGCGCAACCCUCGUUCUAUGUUGCCAGCACGUAAUGGUGGGGACUCAUAGGAGACUGCCGGGGUCAACUCGGAGGAAGGUGGGGAUGACGUCAAAUCAUCAUGCCCCUUAUGUCUUGGGCUUCACGCAUGCUACAAUGGCCGGUACAGAGGGUUGCGAUACUGUGAGGUGGAGCUAAUCCCUAAAAGCCGGUCUCAGUUCGGAUUGGGGUCUGCAACUCGACCCCAUGAAGUCGGAGUCGCUAGUAAUCGCAGAUCAGCAACGCUGCGGUGAAUACGUUCCCGGGCCU
rnacentral:rRNA from 1 species